GAACGCAUAUUGCGCUCUUUGGUAUUCCGAAGAGCAUGCUUGUUUGAGUAUCAGUAAACACCUCAAAACUCUUGAUCUUUUUCAAGCGUUUUGGACUUGAGCAAACCCAACGCCUUUUCUUUUAAGAUCUGUUGCGGCGGGUUGCUUGAAAUGCAGGUGCAGCUGGACUUUUAUCUGAGCUAAAAGCAUAUCUAUUUAGUCCUCGUCAAACAGGAUUAUUACUUUUGCUGCAGCUAACAUAAAGGAUAAUUGUCCUCUUUGCUGACUGAUGCAGGAUUUUACGACACUUUAUGUGUUGUUCAACUCGAUCUCAAAUCAAGUAAGACUACCCGCUGAACUUAAG
rnacentral:misc_RNA from 1 species